AAUGUGGGGACAGAGUUCAGUAUAGGGGCCCCCUGUAGCAGUUGGCUCUCCCUAAGGCACAGAACCCUAGAGGACAGUACGGCCAUGAAACAAUCAGUCCCCCUUGCCCCUGUGCUUAUUCACCAUUUUGGGGCUCCUGUGGGUUGUGCGCGCUCGCUUUAGGACGGGCAAUUUGUGCUAUUGGGUAGACUGUGCUUGUCUACUUUAAGUACAGCUGAAUCAUUGCUCUGUCUGGUGUGAACAAUGCUGCCUCUGUUAAGUAUUGCAUUUUGGCUUUACAGAUGCAACCUUGAGAUCUCAGAAAUCGGAAGAG